rnacentral:rRNA from 1 species
UACAGAGGGGGCAAGCGUUGUUCGGAAUUACUGGGCGUAAAGGGCGCGUAGGCGGCCUUCUAAGUCAUGCGUGAAAUCCCCGGGCUCAACCCGGGAACUGCGUCUGAUACUGGAAGGCUCGAAUCCGGGAGAGGGAUGUGGAAUUCCAGGUGUAGCGGUGAAAUGCGUAGAUAUCUGGAGGAACACCGGUGGCGAAGGCGGCGACCUGGGCCAAUAUUGACGCUGAGGUGCGAAAGCGUGGGGAGCAAACAGG